GAUCAUGGCUCAGGAUGAACGCUAGCGGCAGGCUUAACACAUGCAAGUCGAGGGGCAGCAUAAUGGAUAGCAAUAUCUAUGGUGGCGACCGGCGCACGGGUGCGUAACGCGUAUGCAACCUACCUUUAACAGGGGGAUAACACUGAGAAACUUGGUACUAAUACCCCAUAACAUCAUGAAAGGCAUCUUUUANGGUUGAAAUUCCGAUGGUUAGAGAUGGGCAUGCGUUGUA
rnacentral:rRNA from 1 species